GUACUAAUGAUAAAAUAACACAAUAUCGUGUGUAUAUAGAAAUACUAAUGAUAAAAGAACACAAUAUCGUGUAUAGUAGAGGUACUAAUUAUAAAAGAACACAAUAUCGUGUAUAGUAGAGGUACUAAUGAUAAAAGAACACAUAUCGUGUGUGUAGUAGAGGUACUAAUGAUAAAAGAACACAAUAUGGUGUAUAGUAGAGGUACUAAUGAUAAAAGAACACAAUAUGGUGUAUAGUAGAGGUACUAAUGAUAAAAUAACACAAUAUGGUGUAUAGUAGAGGUACUAAUGAUAAAAGAACACAAUAUCGUGUAUAGUAGAGGUCUUACAGAAUGAAUAUGUUUUUCACUACUUGACAAAGAAAGACACAAGAAGAAG